rnacentral:rRNA from 1 species
GAUGAACGCUGGCGGCGUGCCUAAUACAUGCAAGUCGAGCGAAUGAUGAGGAGCUUGCUCCUCUGAUUUAGCGGCGGACGGGUGAGUAACACGUGGGUAAUCUGCCUGUAAGACGGGGAUAACUCCGGGAAACCGGGGCUAAUACCGGAUAACAAGAGAAGAAGCAUUUCUUCUUUUUGAAAGUCGGUUUUUGAUGACACGUACAGAUGAGCUCGGGGCGCAUUAGCUAGUUGGUGAGGUCACGGCUCACCAAGGCGACGAUGCGUAGCCGACCUGAGAGGGUGAUCGGCCACACUGGGACUGGGACACGGCCCAGACUCCUACGGGAGGCAGCAGUAGGGAAUCUUCGGCAAUGGGCGAAAGCCUGACCGAGCAACGCCGCGUGAGCGAUGAAGGCCUUCGGGUCGUAAAGCUCUGUCGUUAGAGAAGAACAAGUACGAGAGUAACUGCUCGUACCUUGACGGUACCUAACCAGAAAGCCACGGCUAACUACGUGCCAGCCGCCGCCGUAA